rnacentral:ncRNA from 1 species
AUAUGUAAAUUUGAUUUUGGUUUGGUUUUUAAUUUUUAUGGUUUUAUACAUGUUAGGUUUUUUGGUAGUUUAUAAGGUUUCGUGGAAUUUUUAUUAUCAUCAUGCUUUUAUAGUUGAUUUAAUAUUUUAUAUAUUAAUAUGGUGGUUAUUUAUUAAAUAAUAUUUAAUAUAAAUUAUAAGGUUUUCAGUAUAUAUAUUUAUACAAUGGAUGCGAGUUUUAUAUAGAGAUUGUAAGUAAUGAUUGGAUAAAUUUGUGCCAGCAUCUGCGGUUAUACAUAUAAUCAGAGUUAAAAAUAUUUGGUUUAAAUUAAAGUUAAAUAUAUUUUAGGUGAUGGGAUUAAUAUAGUUAAUUUUUUGGUAAAAUAUAUAAUUAAUUUGUUUACAAUUCUUCUCUUUAUUAUUGAUUCUUUGAAAUUUUGAAAAUAAACUAGGAUUAGAUACCCUAUUAUUUUAAAGUGUAAAAAUUGAUUUUAUUUACCUAAGUAUUAUGAAGAUAAAUAUUGUUUAUUAUCAAUUUUUAUUUAAAACUUAAAAAGUUUGGCGGUUUUACAUAUCCAGUUAGGGGAGUCUGUUAAUAUAAUUUGAUAAUCCACAUUUUAAACUAAUUUUUUUUUGAUAUUAUAAUUAUUUUUAUAUAAUUUAUAACAGUUUAUAUAUUGCUGUCGUCAGUUUAUAUUUUAAGAAUUAAAGAACUAGUGAAUAUUUUAUAUUGUUAUGUCAAGUCAUAAUGUAGCUGAUGAAAAAGGUUUAAUGGACUACUUUAAUUGAUUUUAUUUGUUAAUCCGGAUAAUGAAGAUUAUAUUUUAUUAGUAAGGUGGACUUAAUAGUAAAUUAAUGAUUAGUAUGCAUUGUUGAAUAUUGGUUUUGUAAAAUGUACAUAUCGCCCGUCACUCUUGUUGUUUAAAUAAGAUAAGUCGUAACAUAGUAGAGGUAAUGGAAAUUGUUUCUGGAAUAAUAUAUAUU